CAGGAAGAGCUCUGGGUACUUCAAGGUGCCAACAGUGUGGGACUCCUGACAGCCAGGUGAAGAUCCCUCUGCAUAAUAUGGAAGAUGAACUGAAGGUGAACCAUGAUGGCAGCAGUAAAGAGGAAAAAGAAAGAAAAAGACAGUAGACACCUUGAAGUUCAUGAGCUCCUGCUCUGUGAUUAAGUGAGAGCAGAAUGAGGAAGGGGCCUUAAAAAAUGAAGCUUCAGGAAAACUAUUGCCAGAGACAACAGGCAACCACAAGUUGUAUCAUCCUUAUUUUCCUGAUAAACAGGAGUUCUGAAUGUUUGCAAGCCAAUAAAACAUUUUGAAACCUUUCAGAUUAGUAUGCUUUAAGGUUUUGGAUGAAUGCCAUUCAGAAAGUGUUUCCUUUUUGAAAGUAUCAUUAUAAUAAUUAAUGUUUUGUAUUUG
ensembl:lncRNA